CUACGGCCCCUAAAUCAGGAUAAAGCGUUUAAAACGAUCAAAAGAGGGAUUACAAAAUCUAUAUAACUCAAAGCGAUAUGAUUGAACCGAUAGUUUCAUAUAGGCAUUGACGUCUAUGAGCAUUUGGAAUUUAUAUCAACCAAAUGGACGCUGUAAAAAUCACUUUGCAAGGAAUUUUGACUCCUUAGUAUUUAGCAUUUGAACUGUUUUUUUGCCAUUAAUUUGCUUUAACUUUGGAUUACUCACACAAAAGCAAUAAGCCUGCCAAUUUUGAUAAGCUUUUUAGAAGCAAUCUUUUUAGAAGCAAUCUUUUUAGAAGUACUUAUUUUUUAAAAGCACUUAUGAAAGUAAUGGAUAAACUGGUGGGCCUGGGAGGACUUGAACCUCCGACCUCACGCUUAUCAAGCGCGCGCUCUAACCAACUGAGCUACAAGCCCUCCGGGAUAAACCGGAAAACCUUCCCCGGCAUCCUCUUAUAAAACGCUUAAAUUUUAUCAAGGAAAGCGUUUUUCAAAGCCCACGGUGGACUUGUU
rnacentral:misc_RNA from 1 species